rnacentral:rRNA from 1 species
CCAGACUCCUACGGGAGGCAGCAGUGAGGAAUAUUGGUCAAUGGGCGGGAGCCUGAACCAGCCAAGCCGCGUGAAGGAAGAAGGCGCCAAGCGUCGUAAACUUCUUUUGUCGGGGAACAAAGGGCGCCACGUGUGGCGUUGUGAGUGUACCCGAAGAAAAAGCAUCGGCUAACUACGUGCCAGCAGCCGCGGUAAUACGUAGGGGGCGAGCGUUGUCCGGAAUUACUGGGCGUAAAGAGAGCGUAGGCGGCGCUACAAGUCUCAUGUGAAAUACCCGGGCUUAACUUGGGGGUUGCAUGGGAAACUGUAGAGCUUGAGUACAGGAGAGGCAAGCGGAAUUCCUAGUGUAGCGGUGAAAUGCAUAGAUAUUAGGAGGAACACCAGUGGCGAAGGCGGCGUGCUGGACGGAAACUGACGCUGAGGCUCGAAAGCGUGGGGAGCAAACAGGAUUAGAUACCCCUGUAGUA